rfam:Candidate division WOR_3 bacterium SM23_42 WORSMTZ_590, whole genome shotgun sequence.
GGCCCCAUCGUCUAGUGGUUAGGACAUCACUCUUUCAAGGUGGAGACACGGGUUCGAGUCCCGUUGGGGCCA